rnacentral:rRNA from 1 species
UUUCAUGGAGAGUUUGAUCCUGGCUCAGGACGAACGCUGGCGGCGUGCCUAAUACAUGCAAGUCGAGCGGACAGAUGGGAGCUUGCUCCCUGAUGUUAGCGGCGGACGGGUGAGUAACACGUGGGUAACCUGCCUGUAAGACUGGGAUAACUCCGGGAAACCGGGGCUAAUACCGGAUGCUUGAUUGAACCGCAUGGUUCAAUUAUAAAAGGUGGCUUUUAGCUACCACUUACAGAUGGACCCGCGGCGCAUUAGCUAGUUGGUGAGGUAACGGCUCACCAAGGCAACGAUGCGUAGCCGACCUGAGAGGGUGAUCGGCCACACUGGGAC